AUCCGGGUUGCGGACAGUGUCUGGUGGGUAGUUUGACUGGGGCGGUCUCCUCCUAAAGAGUAACGGAGGAGCACGAAGGUUGGCUAAUCCUGGUCGGACAUCAGGAGGUUAGUGCAAUGGCAUAAGCCAGCUUGACUGCGAGCGUGACGGCGCGAGCAGGUGCGAAAGCAGGUCAUAGUGAUCCGGUGGUUCUGAAUGGAAGGGCCAUCGCUCAACGGAUAAAAGGUACUCCGGGGAUAACAGGCUGAUACCGCCCAAGAGUUCAUAUCGACGGCGGUGUUUGGCACCUCGAUGUCGGCUCAUCACAUCCUGGGGCUGAAGUAGGUCCCAAGGGUAUGGCUGUUCGCCAUUUAAAGUGGUACGCGAGCUGGGUUUAGAACGUCGUGAGACAGUUCGGUCCCUAUCUGCCGUGGGCGCUGGAGAACUGAGGGGGGCUGCUCCUAGUACGAGAGGACCGGAGUGGACGCAUCACUGGUGUUCGGGUUGUCAUGCCAAUGGCACUGCCCGGUAGCUAAAUGCGGAAGAGAUAAGUGC
rnacentral:rRNA from 2 species